rnacentral:rRNA from 4 species
UUAAGUGACGAUAGCCUAGGAGAUACACCUGUACCCAUACCGAACACAGAAGUUAAGCCCUAGAACGCCGGAAGUAGUUGGGGGUUGCCCCCUGUGAGAUAGGGAAGUCGCUUAGC